rnacentral:rRNA from 1 species
GGGUAACCUGCCUGUAAGACUGGGAUAACUCCGGGAAACCGGGGCUAAUACCGGAUAACUCAGUUCCUCGCAUGAGGAACUGUUGAAAGGUGGCUUUCACCUACCACUUACAGAUGGACCCGCGGCGCAUUAUCUAGUUGGUGAGGUAACGGCUCACCAAGGCAACGAUGCGUAUCCGACCUGAGAGGGUGAUCGGCCACACUGGGACUGAGACACGGCCCACACUCCUACGGGAGGCAGCAGUAGGGAAUCUUCCGCAAUGGACAAAAGUCUGACAGAGCAACGCCGCGUGAGUGAGAAAAGUUUUCGGAUCGUAAAACUCUGUUGUUAUGGAAGAACAAGUGCCGCUCGAAUAGGGCGGCACCUUGACGGUACCUAACCAGAAAGCCACGGCUAACUACGUGUCACCAGCCGCGGUAAUACGUAGGUGGCAAGCGUUGUCCGGAUUUAUUGGGCGUAAAGCGCGCGCAGGUGUUUUCUUAUAUCUGAUGUGAAAGCCCACGGCUCUACAGUGGAGGGUCAUUGGAAACUGGGGAAAAUGUGUGCACAAAAGAAAAGUGUAAUUUUAAGUGUAUCGGUGAAUGUGUAUAUAUUUGUGAGGAGCACCAGUGUCGAAAGUG